CGCCCCUGCCUGCCUCCUGCAGCAGGGGAGGCUGCGAGCCGCCGCCGCGCCGGGCCCCGGCAGGUGGGCGAGCCGCACCGCACCAGGGCUGCUACGGGGUCUUCAACAUGGUUGGCAUUGCCACAGCUACCUUCCUGCAUGCGGCUCGGUGCUACGUCAGAAAUAACUGGUUCCAGCUAAUAACAAAUCCUCAUCUCUAUUUCAUUGGCUCGUAUCUUGGGCAACGCAAGAGACAUUCUGUAAUGGCUCAAAAUAUCCCUACUGGAUAAUCACGCGGUGGUGUGGAAGAUGGACCCCGGAGGAGGGCAGAGCACGGAGGAGCCCAGCAGCGGGGACCCCGUCCAGGGGACCCCUCGGGUGCCGUGCAGCAGCUGGUGUUGUGAAUCAGGCCGUCACCAGUCGGAGAACGGCUACUUCACAACACCAGGGUCGCACCGCACCACGGUUCGACCACCGGCCGGAGAGGAGCAGAGGUUCCCGCAGGCAGGCAGGGGAUGUGGAACACCUCCUGGCUGCCUCUGCCCAAGCCCAGACCUGCAAAGGUAAUCAGGUGCUCAACUCCUAUUUAGGCACCAGCCUCCCACUGAAGUCUGAAAUAGAAGUUAGGCCCCUAAAUAUCUCUGUGGGUCUGGCCCCAAGACCCUGCCUUGCUGUGCAGUGCAGAGCAGAGCUUCAGCAGGCACGGGGCAGUGCUGUCAGCAACACGGUCACUGCCUGCUUGCAUGCGGUGUGAACGUUAAGGAAUGGGUAACUUUUAUUAAGCUGUGGCAAAUAGUAAAAAAAACCCCAAACAAAAACCCUUUGCGUGUCCCAUGUGUAUUUCUCCCUGACAGUCAUGUCUGUGGUCCUUGCCUGUGACUAGUCCUGAUCCCUUCCGUAUCUAGACACCUGAUCACAUGUUCUCUGUAAAAGAUGCUGUACAUACCAGGAAAAAAGCCAGACUCCUUGGAAAUGACACUAAAACAGCCCUAGGUGUGUUGUAAUGAAUGAAAAAGCACCAAAAAUAAACAGUGGGGUUGUCCAGAAGUGGUACGAACAGCUGCUGUCCUUAAAAUAGAGAAAACAUUUGAUUUUGCAUUGCUUAAGCAACCCCUCAUAAAUCAUUAGGCAUAGACGGACAGCAAAGCACACUCAAACUGACCCUGUCUGGAGUGGCCCUGUAACGUAUGCCAUGCGUUUCAGGUCUGAAACGCAGGCUCUUCCCUGCCUCUUCCCUUGCACUGCAACACCAGCAUGAUGUUAGUUUGAGGGGAGUGGGUUACAGCAGAGUGCUUUCCACCAAACCCGGGUCAUGUUCCCGGAGGUCAGCACAAAGCUGAUGGCUGUAUACAAUCCCUUAAGUCAAACUGAAACACUGUUCAGUUUUGAUCUCUGAAAGCAGCCAUCUGCCCUUGGACUCGGGAUGGGGUUUUCUCUGGUGGGUUUUCCCUUCCUCCCACCCCCCAAGAUAGUCUAGCUAUAUGCUCUUACGUGGGUGUUGGCUGGCUGUUCUCUUGUAUGACAUAAAACACUGGAAAUGUCUAAAGCAAAAAGUGGAGAAAUGCAGAAAGCAAACAAUCAAGGUAACAGAACUGAUGAGGGAUGUUUUUAAGUUUUCUUCAUUAUCCUAAUUCAUCUGAUUGAAGCUGCCAGUAAAAAUGACUUAAAUACCAUCCUGGAUGUAUGAUUGCUGGCAGGGAGAUAGACGUAGGGGAGAUUCAGGAUAUACAGAAGAUCAGAAAUAGCAUGGGACAGCCUGGAAAUGCAAAUGAAAGGAGACAAAGGUGGUUACGUUAGACCCACCCUAAUCUUUCUGUUCAGGUGGGCUUCCUACAGAAGUAACCCUGAAUUCCUUUCAUAGCAAAAGGUCCACAGCAACGCAAGAGAUGUAUGGGAGGCUCACUCAUACAUUAGGAGAGGGCAACUGUUGAUGCAGGCUAGCAUUGGGUUGUUUUCAUUGAUUAGAGGAAAAGCAAGACUGUAUUUCUAGUUCAGGCACUAUGGCAAGGAGGAGUAUGAAUCUGUCAACCUAACAUGCAAGAAGUCUGUUUUAUUAAACUUGUUCUCUGCUAACACAAACCGUGUGCUCUGUGUGGUAGUCUCAUUGUUCGUUAUAACCUUGUUUUAAAGCUCGAUACCUUUCACUCCAGGGUUUGUUUCCUGGGGUAAAUUACACAAUUCCUUAGAAACAGGAGGCAACAAUGAAAUAACCCCAAUAACGCCUGUACACACCGGUUUAUGUAGCAGCUAUUCAUAUAUAGAACUAAACACAAUUUCAUCUUCUAUUGAGAGCCAGAAACCUGUUUCACCUACUCAGCUUCUGUCGGUAAAUACGCAUAACAUUUGAAAUAGGUUAAUGCUUAAUAUCCACUGCCAGGUGACCUGAUAGACUACUUCCAUACUUCUCCAAGUAUGAUAUGUGGAGACAGGUCAUUUUCAGUUCCCUUUGUUAAAGAAUUUCUUGGGAACAUCACACUUUGGAGGUACUUUUGGGGCAUUUAUUGUACUCCCUGUUUCUAACUUGAAUCCAUCACACUUUAUGCUCUUCUAAAGUGAUUUCCUAGCAAAUUAAUGCAUGCCAUAAUGUAGCACUGCUACUGAAAGUCAAGCACUCCUGCUUGUCAUUAAGGAGCCUGAUCGUGUCGUUUUGUGAGGUGGAUUGCAGGCUGAAUAGCCAACCAUCAGCUUCAGGUGAUGGAAGCAAUUUCUGUUUGCUCCCUUCAGCAGUUAGAAGUACUUGAUGUUAGCAUGUGCUGCAGUGAAAGGUGAAUGCACAAAAUAAAUAGUUCGAUAUGAGUUAUAAA